rnacentral:rRNA from 1 species
GACCUUGCGCUAUUGGAUGAGCCUAAGUCGGAUUAGCUAGUUGGUGAGGUAAAGGCUCACCAAGGCCACGAUCCGUAGCUGGUUUGAGAGGAUGAUCAGCCACAUCGGGACUGAGACACGGCCCGAACUCCUACGGGAGGCAGCAGUGGGGAAUAUUGGACAAUGGGGGCAACCCUGAUCCAGCCAUGCCGCGUGUGUGAAGAAGGCUUUCGGGUUGUAAAGCACUUUCAGCGAGGAGGAAGGCUCUAAAGCUAAUACCUUUAGGGAUUGACGUUACUCGCAGAAGAAGCACCGGCUAACUCCGUGCCAGCAGCCGCGGUAAUACGGAGGGUGCAAGCGUUAAUCGGAAUUACUGGGCGUAAAGCGCGCGUAGGUGGUUGAGUAAGCGAGAUGUGAAAGCCCCGGGCUUAACCUGGGAACGGCAUUUCGAACUGCUCGGCUAGAGUGUGGUAGAGGGUAGUGGAAUUUCCUGUGUAGCGGUGAAAUGCGUAGAUAUAGGAAGGAACACCAGUGGCGAAGGGGCUACCUGGACCAACACUGACACUGAGGUGCGAAGCGUGGGGGAGCAAACAGGAUUAGAUACCCUGGUAGUCCACGCCGUAACGAUGUCACUAGCCGUUG